UACGUAGGUGGCAAGCGUUGUCCGGAUUUACUGGGCGUAAAGAGCGCGCAGGCGGUCGUUCAAGUCGCGUGUGAAAGCCCCCGGCUCAACUGGGGAGGGUCACGCGAUACUGAUCGACUCGAAGGCAGGAGAGGGAAGUGGAAUUCCCGGUGUAGUGGUGAAAUGCGUAGAUAUCGGGAGGAACACCAGUGGCGAAGGCGACUUCCUGGCCUGUUCUUGACGCUGAGGCGUCGAAAGCCUAGGGGAGCAAAGCGGGAUUAAGAA
rnacentral:rRNA from 1 species